GCUACCCUUAAGAAUUAGCUGAAGUUCUGCUACUUUUCCCAUCCGGAUAUGUCGUCGAGACGUCCAGUUUGCUUUGGGCAGAAACUGAUGAUGUUUUAUGCCUUCUGUCUCCCAGUCUGAGAGAGAGAGAGAGAGAGAGAGAGAGAGGGAGGCCACUGACUUCAUCCAGCCCAUAAACUGCUGCCGUCAUUGCUGAAGGCCCAGGCCAGUAAUGGGCAGCUGGGACACCAUGUGUUUGAACAGCCCCCAGAUCCUCUACAUACAUCUCCGAUCAACACCCAGCAGGUAAUGGCAUCUGAUCUGUCUUCAACCUGAUUUUUGAGACUUUUAUUAACCUCUAAUUUGCAUUCUUGGUAACACUUUUGUCCAGUGCCAGAAGUUUCAGAUCAAUGCAGUAAUUCUUGUUUGUGUUUUCCUCUGUUCUAUGACACGAACAACAGGAACAACUACUGCUCUUAGUGUAACUAAAUGGAAAGUCUAAUUAAAAGAAAAUAGGCACAAGAAAAUCACUCAAUGGGAAUGAUUAGCAGUGUAUUCUUCUUGUUUAUC